GACGAACGCUGGCGGCGUGCUUAACACAUGCAAGUCGAACGGAAAGGCCCUGCUUUUGUGGUGUGCUCGAGUGGCGAACGGGUGGGUAACACGUGAGUAACCUGCCCUUGACUUUGGGAUAACUUCCGGAAACUGGGGCUAAUACCGGGUAGGAGCUCCUGAUGCAUGGUGGGGGUUGGAAAGUUUCGGCGGUUGGGGAUUGACUCGGGGAUUAUCAGCUUGUUGGUGGGGUAGUGGCGUACCAAGGCUUUGAGGGGUAGCGGGCAUGAGGGGGUGACCGGACAGAUUGGGACUGAGAUGCGGGCCGCAGUCCUAAGGGAGGCAGCAGGGGCGAAUAUUUCACGAAGGGCCGCAGCGUGAGGGAGGAAGGCCGUCUGCGGGAAAAACGCCGUUGGGUGGGAAACCGAUUUGGCCAGUGACGAAGGGUGAGUGACAGUAAUGGGUAAAGAAGCGCCGGGUAACUACGUG
rnacentral:rRNA from 1 species